CAAGUCAAGCGGAGUAGCAAUACUCAGCGGCGAACGGGUGAGUAAUUCAUGGAUAACCUACCUAGAAGUUGGGGAUAACACAGAGAAAUUUGUGCUAAUACCGAAUGUGACGGUUCCUGGUAGCAGGGAUUGGUUAAAGCAGCAAUGCGCUUUUAGAUGGGUCCAUGGCUGAUUAGCUAGCUGGUGGGGUAAAGGCUCACCAAGGCGACGAUCAGUAGCCGGCCUGAGAGGGUGAACGGCCACAAUGGAACUGAGACACGGUCCAUACUCCUACGGGAGGCAGCAGGUUAAG
rnacentral:rRNA from 1 species